rnacentral:rRNA from 1 species
GACGAACGCUGGCGGCGUGCUUAACACAUGCAAGUCGAACGGAAAGGCUUCAGCUUUCUGGAGUACUCGAGUGGCGAACGGGUGAGUAACACGUGGGUAAUCUGCCCUGCACUCUGGGAUAAGCCUGGGAAACUGGGUAUAAUACUGGCUAUGACCUUUCUCACUAUGGGGUUUGGUGGAAAGUUUUUCUGUGUAGGAUGUGCCCGCGGCCUAUCAGCUUGUUGGUGGGGUGUUGGCCUACCAAGGCGACGACGGGUAGCCGGCCUGAGAGGGUGAUCGGCCACAUUGGGACUGAGAUACGGCCCAGACUCCUACGGGAGGCAGCAGUGGAGAAUAUUGCACAAUGGGCGGAAGCCUGAUGCAGCGACGCCGCGUGGGAGAUGACGGCCUUCGGGUUGUAAACCUCUUUCAGCAGGGACGAAGCGUAAGUGACGGUACCUGAAGAAGAAGCAACGGCUAACUAUGUG